CUAUAUGGUCGCUACUCGUACCGGUUACAUACAUAUGAAAUAACACCCUUUAGUCACCAUUACUGUUAUGAUUGCUGGACAGAGACGCAGGAACUGGGAGACGAUGAAUCAGGAUCGAAGGGUUUAUUUGGAAUCACUCCAAAUGCAGGACACAAGACAUCAAUGACAGACCAGGGGGUAAUAUCCGUACGUCGCUUAAAUCACCCGAGAUCAGAUGCCUUAUCCUGGAUAAGUCGAUUUUUCAAACGCAGCUGUGUAGUACAUUAUUCUAGCUGGAUCCAUUCAUCCGAGAUGAUUGCACGCACCUGCGCUGCUUGAAAAGCCCAUAUAUAUCGAGUUUAGAAAACUUGAUCAGCAAGUCCUUGAUAGGCUGCAACAAAAUGAGGAAAGGAAGGACGCACCUUUUCACAGAAGCGGAGCAGGACCUCCUACUAGAAGGAUAUGAAGAAUUUCAAGAGCUAAUAAGCACAAGAGUUACUGAUGGAGUAAUCUGUUGUGGAACCGCCAGACACCCAUGAAAUGGAUGAAGACACCAUGUCAGCUGUCACAGGGGGCCUAUGAGCAAUGCAGAAAAUCACCAGAGUGAGCCGACUGCAUCCACAGCCACAGCUCAGUUUACCUCUGUAAGAUGCUUCAGUAUUUGCCAACCAGUUAUUGAAAAAUUGGAGUAAGAAUCAUUCUUCUCAUUAAAUGAAAAUGUCUUUA